UACGGAGGAUCCAAGCGUUAUCCGGAUUUAUUGGGUUUAAAGGGUGCGUAGGCGGCCUAUUAAGUCAGGGGUGAAAGACGGUGGCUCAACCAUCGCAGUGCCUUUGAUACUGGAGAGCUUGAGUACAGUUGAGGUAGGCGGAAUGCAGGGUGUAGCGGUGAAAUGCAUAGAUACCCUGCAGAACACCGAUUGCGAAGGCAGCUUACUAAGUUGUUACUGACGCUGAGGCACGAAAGCGUGGGGAUCAAACAGG
rnacentral:rRNA from 1 species